UGUUUGUUGCUCAAGUCGCAACAGAAAGAGAUACACGAGUCAAGAUAAUUGAUCCGAAAACUUGUUUUGCGAAAGGGGUACUUAAGCGAAGUUUUUUCCCGACGACCACAAUGUGGUAUGCUUUUCCUCAAGAUUGCUGUCAAAGUGUUCUCCUCAGAACUCCUGCCAAAGUGUGAUGUUGUGUGGACUGUGUGGUAUAUGCAUGGAUGCAUGAGGCACAGCAAAUCGGAGGACUACAUGGAUGUAUGAAGCACAGCCAUUCAGAGGACUACAUUGAUGCAUGAAGCACAGCAGCUCAGAGUCCUUCACCACUAAAGGCGACGCGAAUUCCAAUGCAAUCCCCGGGCGUUUGCGUUCAACCAACGACUGAUGACCCUGUGCCGAAGGGCCCGUGACCUGUAUUUCCUGGACCAUGGUUUCCACCGACAGCCCCCAACCAGAGUCCUCGCAGCUGACGGCCUCCACCCCAGUUUUGAAGGAGUCACCCAGAUCGCACACCGACUGCGGUCCCUGGUACCCCGGCUGCUCCGUCACCUACCCACACGUACAGCAAGCACUGGAACGCCGGACCCCGUAUGGCCGACACUCCAGGAGGCUGCAGCAUGGACACAAAGAAGCACACGUGCCGAGAAAUCGUUACGAUCCAAGCAGCAGGAUUGACUAGCCGGCUCACGGGUAUUUCCUCAAGGUCCUGCUGCACAGACCCGGUCAUUCCCCUUUCACUUAGUCACCAACCUAUGUUAGUCAUGACAAAAGCGCAUGCGCUGCUCUCUUUCCCUUGUACAUAACCCUCUCCCAUAUAUAAAGCUUGUUCUUGUCACCAAACCCCAGUCCCGUCGAAGGCAGCGCUGACUGCCGAAACGUCGACCCCUAUCCCUAUAUGUCUUAAUAAACUCCCCUUUGUGUUUUCCUGUAAGCUCUUUGUCGUCU